CAAGCGGUGGAGCAUGUGGUUUAAUUCGAUGCAACGCGAAGAACCUUACCUACUCUUGACAUCCAGAGAACUUAGCAGAGAUGCUUUGGUGCCUUCGGGAACUCUGAGACAGGUGCUGCAUGGCUGUCGUCAGCUCGUGUUGUGAAAUGUUGGGUUAAGUCCCGCAACGAGCGCAACCCUUAUCCUUUGUUGCCAGCACGUAAUGGUGGGAACUCAAAGGAGACUGCCGGUGAUAAACCGGAGGACACAGAGUGGGGAUGACGUCAAGUCAUCAUGGCCCUUACGAGUAGGGCUACACACGUGCUACAAUGGCGUAUACAAAGGGAAGCGACCUCGCGAGAGCAAGCGGAACUCACAAAGUACGUCGUAGUCCGGAUUGGAGUCUGCAACUCGACUCCAUGAAGUCGGAAUCGCUAGUAAUCGUAGAUCAGAAUGCUACGGUGAAUACGUUCCCGGGCCUUGUACACACCGCCCGUCACACCAUG
rnacentral:rRNA from 1 species